rnacentral:rRNA from 1 species
CUUAAAGGAAUUGACGGACUCCUACGGGAGGCAGCAGUGGGGAAUUGUUCGCAAUGGGCGCAAGCCUGACGACGCAACGCCGCGUGGAGGAUGAAGGUCUUCGGAUUGUAAACUCCUGUUGCUCGGGACGAAAAGCUUCGACCUAACACGUCGAGGUCUGACGGUACCGAGUGAGGAAGCACCGGCUAACUACGUGCCAGCAGCCGCGGUAAUACAGAGGGGGCAAGCGUUGUUCGGAAUUACUGGGCGUAAAGGGCGCGUAGGCGGCCCGCUAAGUCGAACGUGAAAUCCCCGAGCUCAACUCGGGAACUGCGUCCGAUACUGGCGGGCUUGAAUCCGGGAGAGGGAUGCGGAAUUCCAGGUGUAGCGGUGAAAUGCGUAGAUAUCUGGAGGAACACCGGUGGCGAAGGCGGCAUCCUGGACCGGCAUUGACGCUGAGGCGCGAAAGCUAGGGGAGCAAACGGGAUUAGAUACCCCGGUAGUCCUAGCUGUAAACGAUGGGCACUGGGUAGAGGGAUUCUUAUGUGUCUCUCUGCCGGAGCUAACGCGUUAAGUGCCCCGCCUGGGGAGUAUGCUCGCAAGGGUAAAACUCAAAGGAAUUGACG